ACCGGUACCGGUGGUGCGGUGCGCCAUGUUUUUUUAGAAAUUGUAGAUUUCGGCUUCUAUUUUUUAAUUAAAGUGAAAAAUGUGAUUAUAAUUAGUGUAAAUUGUGAUAUUUGUGAAGAAAACUGUAGCUUAUACUUGAGAAAACCAAUCCCUAUAUCGACGAUCGCAGUUACUUAUUGGCCCUCUUGUGCUCCGCCGAACCGAUUAAACGAUGUACGAGUGCGCUGCUAAAGAAGAUUGUUUUUGGCUACUUCCGAACGAUUGUCAUUGGUAAUGCUGGCCCGGGUCCCUUAUACUUUCGGGCUUGAAAUGCAGAUUGCAGAAUAGUACAGCUCAGCGACGACAUCAGCAUGCUCUGAAGCAACUGAAGGGAUUCUAUAGGACUUUGCGUUGAUUUGGAAGAAAACUUCUGUAAAUGUUUUUUUCCGAUUCGAUCAAGACUUGUGACCGGUAACUUUGGAACGUCCGUCGAACAACUGAGAACGAAUGUUUCGAUUGGAAGAAAUAGUUUUGGAAGUAUAAAUAAUCCGGCUGAAGCCGUCCGUUGGAAAACGUUCCCAUCCAAAUUGGAACUGAUUCGGGCUGUAAAUGAAGAAUCUCAUGUCAUCAUCUGAAGUCUUUGCAGAUCACCGAUUUCCGUAUUGCUCGGUUGUGUAGUUUCAAAUGUGUAACAUGUUUGCAGUUCAUGGAGAAACUUGAGGUGGAAGAGUUUGAGGACAUCAAGAGCGGCUAUCAUAUCCACUUUUACUUUAACAAAAAUCCGUAUUUCGAAAACAAAGUGUCUUCUCACAAGUUGUGAAUUACCUGCUUCGACCAGCACGACCGUCAAGUAGAAACGGGAUCGCGUCUUGCCCAAGAUGUUGCCAAAGAAGGCGAGGGCUAACCGGUGAAGAGUAUCGAACAUACUUCGAUAGGUUCACCAACAAUAAUGAUUCGAUCAAGGAUGACAUUGUCGAAUUGAUCAAGAACGAUUCGUGGCCAAAUCUGCUCCAGUACUAUCUGCUGCCGGACAUCGAAAUGGAAUCGGAAGCCGGACGGCGGUGAAGAUUUCGGUGACGAUGGCGAGGACAAGGAAAAAGAUAGCGAGAUCGAAGAUACGGAAGAGAUAGCCCGAUAGCCUAUAGAAGCAGGUUAAUUUUGUGAUGAUCAAAAUCAUUGUGGAUCAACAGUUUAUACUAGUUUAGCUGUCAACGUGGCAUCUGAUGUCUUCCUAGAUCACCGAUUUCUGUGUCGCUCGGUUGUGUACUUUCAACAGUGCAACAUGGUAUAUAAUACGUCUGAAACUGACCUGCGAGUUUCAAGUGAGAGGCUAUACGUAUCUGUCGCCACACCAGUUCACUGGAUCAGAUGUUCGUAUUCACGAUGACUCGCUGCCCCUGGCAGAUUUUGUCAGUAUGGGUGUGUAUGGACAACUAAUUGAACUAAUCGAUAGCGGCUACUCAGAAGAAACCCUGUCUAGACUAGACUUCCAGUCGGUCGGCGAACAAUACUGCCGGUGUAUAGGAACUUGUCUGUGGAGGAUUGUAUGUGGAACUGUUAGCGAAAACUGGGGUAAUAUGCACCCCCGGGGCAAAACGACCGUUUAACGUUUUUGAGGACAUUUUCGGUAUUUUUUUGAGAGUAUUUACUACAGCGUAUGUAGUUUGAAUCUUGAACCUUAACUACGAAUCUAGAAGUAAACAUUUUUGAAUAUAUGCCAAAAGGUCGUUUUGCCCCGGGGAUGCAUUUUAACCUAGUUUACCCUAAAUGAAACCUGCGGUGGAACUUUAUUCAGCUAUGUGCAUGAUGGACACUCACAAUAAAGUAAAGCUGCUAAAAGUACUAAUCUGCUGAAAAGUACCAUGAAAUAACAAAAAUAACCCUAUAGAUUGAGAUAAAAUAAAUUUUCUAUUUUCGAGUCCUGUGAA